CGGGGGGGCAAGCGUUGUUCGGAAUUACUGGGCGUAAAGGGGUUUGUAGGUGGCUUGCUAAGUCAGACGUGAAAUCCCUCAGCGUUAACUGGGGAACUGCGUCUGAGACUGGCGAGCUUGAGUGCAGGAGAGGAACGCGGAAUUCCAGGUGUAGCGGUGAAAUGCGUAGAUAUCUGGAGGAACACCGGUGGCGAAGGCGGCGUUCUGGACUGCAACUGACACUGAGAAACGAAAGCCAGGGGAGCAAACGGGAUUAGAUACCCCGGUAGUCCUGGCCCUAAACGAUGAAUGCUUGGUGUGGCGGGUAUCGAUCCCCGCUGUGCCGAAGUUAACGCGUUAAGCAUUCCGCCUGGGGAGUACGGUCGCAAGGCUG
rnacentral:rRNA from 1 species